rnacentral:lncRNA from 1 species
CAUUCAAAGAAGCAAGAAUAAAGCUUGUAACAAUUACAACUUUUAAAUCACAAACUAUGAACUACAAAACACAAAAGGAUUCAACAACUACUAGACCUAGGCUCUGAUACCACUUGAAGGAUGAUUUUGUGAAAACAUGUUCAUUUAAGCAACAUCAAUAAGCAUGCAAUUAACAAUUAAAGGCGGAAUCAUGCUUGCAUGCACUUAAAAACAAAACAUUAACAAUGAAAUUCAAAGCCUAGUAGAUUGGUGAACCAAGACUCAACUCAAAUCAAAGUGAGUUGAGAAAU